UCGUGGCCUCUGGCUUCUGUUUGCGCUUGGGCGCUUCGUCGUGUCGCCGCCCGCGCGGGCGCUCUGGGAGGCGGCGAUGCCCUCGAUGCUGAGGCGUCGCCGGGCGUACGCGACUGCUGAGGGCGCAGAACCGGCCGCCGGCGCCUGGGCGCAAGGCCGAGGUGAAACGCUGAAGAUUCGCCGCGUUCUCCGUGUGCCGUCUGAGGCUGCCGGCCGUCUGGAUGAUCCGUGACGGGAAGACGCUAAGCAAAUCAUGAAGCUGCUUUUGUGGGCAUCUUCGGGGUAGCCUGCCACCAACGGGUUAAUGGAGACGGUUUACCUAACGCUUCUCCAUGCGCUGUACAGUGUUCAUCCAACACGGGGCCCUGCACGUGUCGGAAUGCCCGCCUGGCCCGCACGGCGCUUCCUGGAGCUGGGUCAGCCCGAAUGGGCCUGUGCUGGGUCCAGGGCGCUGUAACAAGCCACCACGGGCUUCGUGGCAGGAGACGCGCGAGGUGCUGUCCUCCCGGCCGCGCGAGCUUGCUCUGCGUUCCGCGAGGCCGGAGUGCGGCGCGGGUCCAGGCAGCCGUGGAGGCGCAGCUGCACGCGCUCGGAGCUCGACGGGAGAUCCGUUUCCUGGCCUUCUCCAGCUUCCGGAGGCUGUCCACGUUCCUUAGCUCGUGGCCACCUCCCUCCCCUCUUCAAAGCCAGGGGUGUUGCACGUCCGACCCUUCCGUAAUCACAUCUGCCUCUGAUCGCAGCUGGGAAAGAUUCUUUGAUUUUGAGGGCUCGUGUGAUAAGAUUGGGUCCACCUGAAUAAUCCAGGAUACUCUUCUCGUUUCAAGGGCCCAGGCAUGAGGACAUGGGGACCAGACUGAAGGACAACCUGAGAGAAAGACUCAGUGCUGUACAGCAAAGUACACAAAUCUUAAGUGUACAGCUUGAUGAAUUUUGUAUGAAUACACCAGUGUAACCACCACCCAGAUCAAAAUAUACAACAUUUUCAGCACUCCGGGAGAUUUUCUCAUGCUUCCUCCUAGCUCAAACCUCCCCUCACCCAAAGCAAUCUUCAUGAGGAGUACAUUCCAUCUCAAGAAACCACUUUCUUUGCUCAUCUAUAAGAAGCAACUCCACAUCCAUUAGUUUUAUCAUGAUAUUGCAGCAAUUCAGUCUCAUCUUCAGGCUCCACUUCUAAUUCUAAUUCUCUUGCUAUUUUCACAUCUUCAGUUAAUUUCUCCACUGAAGUCUUGAACCCCUCAAAGUCAUCCAUAAUGAUUGCAAUCAGCUUCUUCUAAAUUCCUGUUAAUGUUGAUAUUUUGACCUCUUUCCCUGAACACAAAUGUUCUUAAUGGCACCUAGAAUGGUGACUUCAUUCCAAAAGGUUUUCAAUUGAUUUUGCCCAGAUCCAUCAGAUGAAUCACCAUCUAUGGCAGCUAUAGCCUUACAAAAUAUAUUUUUAGAAUAAUAAGGCUUGAAAUUCAAAAUUACUCCUGAAUCCAUGGGAUAGAAUGGAUGUUGUGUUAGCAGGCGUGAAAACAGCAUUAAUCUCAUUGUACAUCUCCAUCAGAGCUCUUGAGUGAUCAGGUGCAUUGUCACAAGCAGUAAUAUUUUGACAGAAAUCUUUUUUCUGAGCAAUAGGUCUCGACAGUGGGCUUAAGACAUUUAGUAAACCAUGUUGUAAACAUAUGUGCUGUCAUCCAAGCUUUGUGCUUCCAUCUAUAGAGCACAAGCAGAGUAGAUUUACCAUAAUUCUUAUGAGCAUUGGCUUCAACUUGAAGUCACCAGCUGCAUUAGCCCUGAAUGAGAGAGUCAGCCUGUCCUUUGAAGCUUUGAAGCCAGCUAUUGACUUCUCCUCUCUAGCUAUGAAAGUCCUACAUGGCAUCUUUUUCCAAUAGAAGGCUGUUUCAUCUACAUUGAAAAUCUGUUCAGUGUAGCCACGUGCAUUAAUGAUCUUGGCUAGAUCUUCUGGAGAACUUGCUGCAGCUUCUACAUCAGCACUUGCUGCUUCACCCUGCACUUUUAUAUUAUGGAGAUGGCUUCUUUCCUUAAACCUCAUGAACCAACCUCUGCCAGCUUCAAACUUUUGUUCUGUAGCUUCUUCACCUCUCUCAGCCUUCACAGAAUUGAAGACAGUGAGGGCCUUGCUCUGGAUUAGGCUUUGGCUGAAGGGAAUGUUGUGGCUGGUUUGAUCUUCAAUCCAGACCACUAACAUUUUCUCCAUAUCACCAAUAAGACUGUUUCACUUUCUUAUCAUUCAUGUGUUCACUGGACUAACACUUUUAAUUUCCUUCAAGAACUGUUUCUUUGCAUUCACUAGUUGGCUGACCAUUUGGUGCAAGAGGCCUAAACUUUCAGCCUAUCUUGACUUUUGAUAUGCCUUUCUCACUAAGCUAAAUCAUUUCUAGUUUUUGAUUUAAAGUGAGAGAUGUACAACUCUUCUUUUCUCUUGAACACUUAGAGGCUAUUGUAGGGUUAUUAGUUGGUCUAAUUCAGUACUGUUGUGUCUCAGGGAAAAGGGAGGCCUGAGGAGAGGAAGCAAGAUGGGGGACCAGCUGGGCCAUGAAGCAGUCAGAACACACACAACAUUUAUCAAUUAAGUUUGAUGGGUUUAUAUGGGCACAGUUUGUGGUGCCUAAAACAAUUACAAUAGUAAUAUCUGAUUACAGAUCACCAUAAGAAAUAUAAUAAUGAAAAUUUGAAAUAUCACUAGAAAUACCAAAAUGUGACACAGGGACACAAAGUCAGCAAAUGCUGUUGGAAAAAUGGCUCUGAUAGACACGCUCAAUGCAGGGUUGCCACAAAACUUCAAUUUAUAAAAAAAUGCAAUUAUCUAUGAAGUGCAAUAAAGUGAAGCAUGAUAAAAGGAGGUAGGGCUGUGGUCUAUAGAUGUUAAUUAUGUACAUUUGAUUGAUGGUUCUUUGAGUUCAACUACGUCCUUACUGAUUUUCUGCCUGCUAGAUCUGUCCAUUUCUAAAUGAAGGGUGUUGAAGUCACCAACUAUAAUAACGGGUUCUUCUAUUUCUCCUUGCAUUUUUAUCAGUUUUUUGCCCCAUGUAUUUUGAAGCUCUGUUGUUAGGCACAUGCACAUUAAGGAUUGUUAUGUCUUCUUGGAGAAUUAACUCCUUUAUCAUUAUGGAAUGCCCCUCUGUAUUCCUGGUAACCUUCCUUGCUCUGAAAUCUGCUCUAUCUGAAAUUAAUAUAUCUAUUCCUGCUUUCUUUUGGUUAGUGUUAGUAGCCUGGUGUAUCUUUCUCCAUUCAUUUGCUUUUCAUGUAUAUA